UGGGGAAUAUUGGACAAUGGGCGGAAGCCUGAUCCAGCCAUGCCGCGUGUGUGAAGAAGCCCUUUUGGUUGUAAAGCACUUUAAGCGAGGAGGAGGCUACUUGGAUUAAUACUCUAGGAUAGUGGACGUUACUCGCAGAAUAAGCACCGGCUAACUCUGUGCCAGCAGCCGCGGUAAUACAGAGGGUGCGAGCGUUAAUCGGAUUUACUGGGCGUAAAGCGUGCGUAGGCGGCUUCUUAAGUCGGAUGUGAAAUCCCUGAGCUUAACUUAGGAAUUGCAUUCGAUACUGGGAAGCUAGAGUAUGGGAGAGGAUGGUAGAAUUCCAGGUGUAGCGGUGAAAUGCGUAGAGAUCUGGAGGAAUACCGAUGGCGAAGGCAGCCAUCUGGCCUAAUACUGACGCGGAGGUACGAAAGCAUGGGGAGCAAACAGG
rnacentral:rRNA from 1 species